UGGGGAAUAUUGCACAAUGGAGGGAACUCUGAUGCAGCGACGCCGCGUGAGUGAUGAAGGAAUUCGUUUCGUAAAACUCUGUUCUAUGGGAAGAAAAGGACUGUACCAUAGGAGAAAGCUCAGGCUAAAUACGUGCCAGCAGCCGCGGUAAUACGUAUGGAGCGAGCGUUGUCCGGAAUUAUUGGGCGUAAAGGGUGCGCAGGCGGCUUUACAAGUUGGAUGUGAAAUAUUGUGGCACAACCACAAACGUGCAUCCAAAACUGCAAAGCUUGAGUUAAGGAGAGGUAAGUGGAAUUCCUGGUGUAGCGGUGGAAUGCGUAGAUAUCAGGAGGAAUACCGGUGGCGAAGGCGACUUACUGGACUUAAACUGACGCUCAGGCACGAAAGCGUGGGGAGCAAACAGG
rnacentral:rRNA from 1 species